GGGUUGUGAGGUUAAGCGACUAAGCGUACACGGUGGAUGCCCUGGCAGUCAGAGGCGAUGAAGGGCGUGCUAAUCUGCGAUAAGCGCCGGUAAGGUGAUAUGAACCGUUAUAACCGGCGAUACCCGAAUGGGGAAACCCAGUGUGACUCGUCACACUAUCAUUAACUGAAUCCAUAGGUUAAUGAGGCGAACCGGGGGAACUGAAACAUCUAAGUACCCCGAGGAAAAGAAAUCAACCGAGAUUCCCCCAGUAGCGGCGAGCGAACGGGGAGGAGCCCAGAGCCUGAAUCAGCAUGUGUGUUAGUGGAAGCGUCUGGAAAGGCGCGCGAUACAGGGUGACAGCCCCGUACACAAAAGCGCAUGUGCUGUGAGCUCGAUGAGUAGGGCGGGACACGUGGUAUCCUGUCUGAAUAUGGGGGGACCAUCCUCCAAGGCUAAAUACUCCUGACUGACCGAUAGUGAACCAGUACCGUGAGGGAAAGGCGAAAAGAACCCCGGCGAGGGGAGUGAAAAAGAACCUGAAACCGUGUACGUACAAGCAGUGGGAGCACCCUUUGGGGUGUGACUGCGUACCUUUUGUAUAAUGGGUCAGCGACUUAUAUUCUGUAGCAAGGUUAACCGUAUAGGGGAGCCGGAGGGAAACCGAGUCUUAAUUGGGCGUUAAGUUGCAGGGUAUAGACCCGAAACCCGGUGAUCUAGCCAUGGGCAGGUUGAAGGUUGGGUAACACUAACUGGAGGACCGAACCGACUAAUGUUGAAAAAUUAGCGGAUGACCUGUGGCUGGGGGUGAAAGGCCAAUCAAACCGGGAGAUAGCUGGUUCUCCCCGAAAGCUAUUUAGGUAGCGCCUCGUGAAUUCAUCUCCGGGGGUAGAGCACUGUUUCGGCUAGGGGGCCAUCCCGGCUUACCAACCCGAUGCAAACUGCGAAUACCGGAGAAUGUUAUCACGGGAGACACACGGCGGGUGCUAACGUCCGUCGUGAAGAGGGAAACAACCCAGACCGCCAGCUAAGGUCCCAAAGUCAUGGUUAAGUGGGAAACGAUGUGGGAAGGCCCAGACAGCCAGGAUGUUGGCUUAGAAGCAGCCAUCAUUUAAAGAAAGCGUAAUAGCUCACUGGUCGAGUCGGCCUGCGCGGAAGAUGUAACGGGGCUAAACCAUGCACCGAAGCUGCGGCAGCGACGCUUAUGCGUUGUUGGGUAGGGGAGCGUUCUGUAAGCCUGUGAAGGUGGCCUGUGAGGGUUGCUGGAGGUAUCAGAAGUGCGAAUGCUGACAUAAGUAACGAUAAAGCGGGUGAAAAGCCCGCUCGCCGGAAGACCAAGGGUUCCUGUCCAACGUUAAUCGGGGCAGGGUGAGUCGACCCCUAAGGCGAGGCCGAAAGGCGUAGUCGAUGGGAAACGGGUUAAUAUUCCCGUACUUGGUGUUACUGCGAAGGGGGGACGGAGAAGGCUAUGUUGGCCGGGCGACGGUUGUCCCGGUUUAAGCGUGUAGG
rnacentral:rRNA from 1 species